GACGAACGCUGGCGGCGUGCUUAACACAUGCAAGUCGAACGAUGAACCCGUAGCUUGCUCCGGUGGAUUAGUGGCGAACGGGUGAGUAACACGUGAGUAACCUGCCCUUGACUCUGGGAUAACUGCGGGAAACUGUAGCUAAUACCGGAUACGACCCUCGGCGGCAUCGCCAGGGGGUGGAAAGCUUUUGCGGUGUGGGAUGGGCCCGCGGCCUAUCAGCUUGUUGGUGGGGUGAUGGCCUACCAAGGCGACGACGGGUAGCCGGCCUGAGAGGGUGACCGGCCACACUGGGACUGAGAUACGGCCCAGACUCCUACGGGAGGCAGCAGUGGGGAAUAUUGCACAAUGGGCGCAAGCCUGAUGCAGCGACGCCGCGUGAGGGAUGACGGCCUUCGGGUUGUAAACCUCUUUCAGCACCGACGAAGCGCAAGUGACGGUAGGUGCAGAAGAAGGACCGGCCAACUACGUGCCAGCCGCCGCGGUAA
rnacentral:rRNA from 1 species